ACGAACGCUGGCGGCAGGCUUAACACAUGCAAGUCGAACGCGUGUAGCAAUACACGAGUGGCGCACGGGUGAGUAACGCGUGGAUAUCUGCUUUUUGGUUCGGAAUAACCCCGGGAAACUGGGGCUAAUACCGGAUGGUUCCUUCGGGAUAAAGAUUUAUCGCCAAAAGAUGAGUCCGCGUCCGAUUAGCUAGUUGGUGAGGUAAUGGCUCACCAAGGCGACGAUCGGUAGCUGGUCUGAGAGGACGAUCAGCCACACUGGGACUGAGACACGGCCCAGACUCCUACGGGAGGCAGCAGUGGGGAAUAUUGGACAAUGGGGGCAACCCUGAUCCAGCCAUGCCGCGUGAGUGAUGAAGGCCUUAGGGUUGUAAAGCUCUUUUACCCGGGAUGAUAAUGACAGUACCGGGAGAAUAAGCUCCGGCUAACUCCGU
rnacentral:rRNA from 1 species